AUUGAACGCUGGCGGCAGGCCUAACACAUGCAAGUCGAGCGGAUGAAGGGAGCUUGCUCCUGGAUUCAGCGGCGGACGGGUGAGUAAUGCCUAGGAAUCUGCCUGGUAGUGGGGGAUAACGUCUGGAAACGGGCGCUAAUACCGCAUACGUCCUGAGGGAGAAAGUGGGGGAUCUUCGGACCUCACGCUAUCAGAUGAGCCUAGGUCGGAUUAGCUAGUUGGUGGGGUAAAGGCCUACCAAGGCGACGAUCCGUAACUGGUCUGAGAGGAUGAUCAGUCACACUGGAACUGAGACACGGUCCAGACUCCUACGGGAGGCAGCAGUGGGGAAUAUUGGACAGUGGGCGAAAGCCUGAUCCAGCCAUGCCGCGUGUGUGAAGAAGGUCUUCGGAUUGUAAAGCACUUUAAGUUGGGAGGAAGGGCAGUAAGUUGAUACCUUGCUGUUUUGACGUUACCAACAGAAUAAGCACCGGCUAACUUCGUG
rnacentral:rRNA from 1 species